rnacentral:tRNA from 17 species
GGGGCGGUAGCUCAGCUGGGAGAGCGCCACGUUCGCAUCGUGGAGGUCGUGGGUUCGAUCCCCAUCCGCUCCACCA